rnacentral:rRNA from 1 species
UACGUAGGUGGCAAGCGUUGUCCGGAUUUACUGGGCGUAAAGGGUGCGUAGGCGGUUAUUUAAGUCUGCCGUGAAAUCCCCGGGCUCAACCUGGGAAUGGCGGUGGAUACUGGAUAGCUAGAGUGUGUCAGAGGAUGGUGGAAUUCCCGGUGUAGCGGUGAAAUGCGUAGAGAUCGGGAGGAACAUCAGUGGCGAAGGCGGCCAUCUGGGACAACACUGACGCUGAAGCACGAAAGCGUGGGGAGCAAACAGG